rnacentral:rRNA from 1 species
GAUGAACGCUGGCGGCGUGCCUAAUACAUGCAAGUCGAGCGAACAGACGAGGAGCUUGCUCCUCUGACGUUAGCGGCGGACGGGUGAGUAUCACGUGGAUAACCUACCUAUAAGACUGGGAUAACUUCGGGAAACCGGAGCUAAUACCGGAUAAUAUAUUGAACCGCAUGGUUCAAUAGUGAAAGACGGUUUUGCUGUCACUUAUAGAUGGAUUCGCGCCGCAUUAGCUAGUUGGUAAGGUAACGGCUUACCAAGGCAACGAUGCGUAGCCGACCUGAGAGGGUGAUCGGCCACACUGGAACUGAGACACGGUCCAGACUCCUACGGGAGGCAGCAGUAGGGAAUCUUCCGCAAUGGGCGAAAGCCUGACGGAGCAACGCCGCGUGAGUGAUGAAGGUCUUCGGAUCGUAAAACUCUGUUAUUAGGGAAGAACAAAUGUGUAAGUAACUAUGCACGUCUUGACGGUACCUAAUCAGAAAGCCACGGCUAACUACGUG